rnacentral:misc_RNA from 1 species
GAUGAAGAACGUAGUGAAAUGCGAUAAGUAAUGUGAAUUGCAGAAUUCAGUGAAUCAUCGAAUCUUUGAACGCACAUUGCGCCCGCCAGUAUUCUGGCGGGCAUGCCUGUUCGAGCGUCAUUUCAACCAUCAAGCCCCCGGCUUGUGUUGGGGACCUGCGGCUGCCGCAGGCCCUGAAAACCAGUGGCGGGCUCGCUAGUCACUCCGAGCGUAGUAAUACAUCUCGCUCAGGGCGUGCUGCGGGUUCCGGCCGUUAAAAAAGCCUUAUUUACCCAAGGUUGACCUCGGAUCAGGUAGGAAGACCCGCUGAACUUAAGCAUAUCAAUAAGCGGAGGA